rnacentral:rRNA from 1 species
AACGAACGCUGGCGGCAUGCCUAACACAUGCAAGUCGAACGAGACCUUCGGGUCUAGUGGCGCACGGGUGCGUAACGCGUGGGAACCUGCCCUUAGGUUCGGAAUAACUCCCCGAAAGGGGUGCUAAUACCGGAUAAUGUCUUCGGACCAAAGAUUUAUCGCCUUUGGAUGGGCCCGCGUUGGAUUAGCUAGUUGGUAGGGUAAAAGCCUACCAAGGCGACGAUCCAUAGCUGGUCUGAGAGGAUGAUCAGCCACACUGGGACUGAGACACGGCCCAGACUCCUACGGAAGGCCGCAGUGGGGAAUAUUGGACAAUGGGCGAAAGCCUAAUUCAGCAAGGCCGCGUAGGUGAUGAAGGCCUUAGGGUUGUAAGCUCUUUUACCCGGGAUGAUAAUGACAGUACCGGGAGAAUAAGCUCCGGCUAACUCCGUG